rnacentral:rRNA from 1 species
AAGCAUAUCAAUAAGCGGAGGAAAAGAAACCAACAGGGAUUGCCUUAGUAACUGCGAGUGAAGCGGCAUCAGCUCAAAUUUGAAAUCUGGCGUCUUUGGCGUCCGAGUUGUAAUUUGGAGGGGCAUCUUCGGGGAGGACGCAGGUCUAAGUUCCUUGGAACAGGACGUCAUAGAGGGUGAGAAUCCCGUCAUUGGCUUGCUGCUCCUCUCCAUGUGAAGUGCCUCCGACGAGUCGAGUUGUUUGGGAAUGCAGCUCAAAAUGGGUGGUAAACUUCAUCUAAAGCUAAAUACUGGCGAGAGACCGAUAGCGCACAAGUAGAGUGAUCGAAAGAUGAAAAGCACUUUGAAAAGAGAGUUAAAAAGUACGUGAAAUUGUUGAAAGGGAAGCGCUUGAGACCAGACUCAGCGGGAGGUGAUCAGCGGUGCUUUUGUGCCGUGCACUCGCCUUCUGUUGGGCCAGCAUCGGUUUCGGUGGCGGGAUAAAGGCCGGGGGAAUGUGGCUCCUCUCGGGGAGUGUUAUAGCCCCUGGUGCAAUGCCGCCUACCGGGACCGAGGACCGCGCUUCGGCUAGGAUGCUGGCGUAAUGGUCUUCAGCGACCCGUCUUGAAACACGGACCAAGGAGUCUAACAUCUAUGCGAGUGUUCGGGUGGAAAACCCUUGCGCGUAAUGAAAGUGAACGGAGGUGGGAACCCGCAAGGGUGCACCAUCGACCGAUCCUGAUGUCUUCGGAUGGAUUUGAGUAGGAGCAUAGCUGUUGGGACCCGAAAGAUGGUGAACUAUGCCUGAAUAGGGUGAAGCCAGAGGAAACUCUGGUGGAGGCUCGCAGCGGUUCUGACGUGCAAAUCGAUCGUCAAAUUUGGGUAUAGGGGCGAAAGACUAAUCGAACCAUCUAGUAGCUGGUUCCUGCCGAAGUUUCCC